CCGUUGACAGUCGCAGUUCUAUACGGCCGCCGACUUUGCCUAGGACCUUAGGAGUAAACAGAAUAGAAUAUUCCAAAGGAAUAAAAGUUAAGUGCGAAUAGAAGAAAGGGAGAGACGGGCUGAUCUGAUCUGAUUCAUCAGAUCAUCCGAUUCCGAUGGCUUCUACAGAGGGUCUGGUGCCCAUCACUAGGGCCUUUCUGGCGUCUUAUUACGACAAACACUCUUUUACUCCUCUUUCUGCGGAUGUAACUCGCCUUUCUUCUGAGAUUCGUUCUAUCGUCAGUGAUUUGCUCCAUCAACAUCCACCUAUCGAAGGAGAAAGCAUAUUAAUAAAUGAAGCUGACCGGCAACCUCCACAUAAAAUUGAUGAGAACAUGUGGAAGAAUCGAGAGUACAUUGAAGAAACUAUUUUCUUACUUGAAAGUUCUAAUUGGCCAGAGGCGUUUGUAUGAAGUUCGUACAAAACAAUUGAAAGUUAAAAGAACUAAUUUCUGGAUGCAGCUAAAGCAGCAGUCCACACCUGACAGUGUUGAAAUUUCCAUUGUGCUUGGGAAGCUGAAAGAUAAACUUCAUAAUACAUUGAAGGCUUUGGAGUCUUUCCAAAUUAAAAAUGCUGAACAUGUAUUUAAUACAGUUAUGACAUAUUUGCCUCAAGAUUUUCGAGGAACUCUCCUUAGACAACAACGAGAACGCUCAGAGAGGAAUAAGCAAGCUGAGGUUGAUGCUUUGGUAAAUUCUGGUGGUAGCAUACAUGAUCGAUAUGCUCUUCUCUGGAAACAACAAAUGGACAGGAGAAGGCAAUUAGCUCAGCUCGGUUCUGCAACAGGGGUCUAUAAAACACUUGUGAAGUACCUGGUUGGGGUUCCUCAGGUAUUGCUUGAUUUUAUUCGGCAGAUAAAUGAUGAUGACGGGCCCAUGGAGGAACAACGACAUCGCUAUGGACCACCAUUAUACAGCCUCACCUUGAUGAUUCUUUCAAUUCGACUCUACCUUUCAAUAUCAUGGGCUCGAUAUAAGGAGUUAAAAAGGGAACAAAUAGCUGUCUUAGAGCAAGCUGUUGAUGUCUAUACCACGGAGUUGGAAAGGUUUUUGACAUUUAUCAGUGAGGUCUUUGCAAAUUCGCCUUUCUUCAUUUCAGCAGAGGUUGCUGGUGCAUUGGAAACCAGGCAAAAUGAUGACUACAAAGAGAUAAGUGUUCCAGCUGGGAAAACAUAUGAGGUUUUACUCUCUGUUGACUCUGUGAACUCAUACAUUGCAUGGGAUUUUUCACUGGUACAAGGCAAGAUAAAUAUGGAUAUUGGAUUUAGUUUGGAGUUUGCAAGUCCUACUGGGGAAAAAACUGUAAGUUUGAAUGCCAUUUCGUUUUUUAUUAUCUGUAUCACAUUCUCAAAUGGUUUCUUCAGAAGCAUUUCUCAUGUUCCUCUGCAACAGCCAUUCUCAACUUCAAUUUGUUUGGCCCUCACCCAGCCUUUUUCACUAUUUUUCUGUUCUGUUUUGUGUUUUGCUCUCUUUCCUGAUAUAUCUGUUUUGCCAAUUGUCAUUUUUAUGGUGGCUGAUUGGUUAUAACAUAGCUGAUGUUACCUUACCGCCGUUACGAAUCUGACCAAGUGAGUGUCGUUUAUUGCAGCUUCUACUAGGCAUUUGAUAUGUAAAUAUUCAUCUUACAUUUUGUAUCUAUACUGUUAGGGGAACUUCUGCACGUUAAUGGCUGGAAGCUAUAAACUGAUCUGGGACAACACAUAUUCAACCUUUUUCAGAAAGGUUCUACGGUACAAGAUAGAUUGUAUACCUCCUGUCACUGAAUCAGCGCAGUCUGACUGAAGCAAGAGUGCUAAAGGCCUUUGGGAUGAGGCAGGAUAGCUGAUUGAUUUGCUAGUAAUUUUAUUCUUAUCAAAGGCACAUGUUCUAAUUACUCAUGUCAAAAUCCCCGCCCUAGUUAUUUGUUAAAGGAAGACACAAAGAACUGGAUAAAAAAUUAAUCUUUAGUAAAAAAAAUUUAUCAGUUACGCAUGGCUCCUUUAGCAAGCUGUGACAAAAAGUAAUCGUGCGUAUUGUCGCUGGUAUAAUUGUUGUGGAAAACCAUACAGGUGAUAGGUAAGAAUCUGUUACA